rnacentral:rRNA from 1 species
GUUUGAUCCUGGCUCAGCCUGAACGCUGGCGGCGUGGCUAAGACAUGCAAGUCGUACGGGCGUAGCAAUACGUCAGUGGCGAACGGGUGAGUAAAGUAUCGCUAACGUACCCCUAUGUCCGGGAUAGCUGAGGGAAACUUCAGGUAAUACCGGGUGACAUUCUCUUUUCGCAUGAAGAGAGACUCAAAGGGAAACCGCAAAGGGAGCGGGCGAUAUCGUAUCAGCUAGUUGGUGAGGUAACGGCUCACCAAGGCAAUGACGCGUAGCCGGACUGAGAGGUCGGACGGCCACAUUGGGACUGAGACACUGCCCAGACUCCUACGGGGGGCUGCAGUAACGAAUCUUCCGCAAUGCACGCAAGUGUGACGGAGCGACGCCGCGUGUGGGACGAAGUCCUUCGGGAUGUAAACCACUGUCAGGGGUUACCAAGUUCUGAGGAACCCCAGAGGAAGGCACGGCUAACUCUGUGCCAGCAGCCGCGGUAAUAA